AUGUGGCACAUUUAUAUUUCUCCUCCGUCGUCGCCCCCCCCCCCUUCGUUUUACACACUUAAUCCUGCCAUUGUGGAGCACUUCUGCCCGGUGACACUACACCGACCUUCCAGGGACUGGGGGGUCAAAUCUUCCGGCCUCUCGCUGCCACAUUUGAAUUCAGCAACCCCCCAAUUCCUGACCAUAAAGGAGGACCCCUCCCCUUCCCUCCCUCCCUCCCUCCCCUCCCCUCCCCGUGUGUGUUGCCACCCUACCUCGCAAGACGGAGUCACGGCUCUGUGUUCACCCUCUUCAUUGUCCUGCAGUGAAUCACUCCGACGUGCUGCCAUCAUUUCAUUUCAGACCGCAGGAGGACGCAGGAGGAAGAAGUCCCUUAGAGCCCACAUCGAGGUGAGGAGGAUGAAGCCCACCAAAAAAAAAAAGAAGAAAAAAAAGGAUCCUAAUCCACACCGUCCUCCUUCUUCAUGUCCGUCAGUGGCUGCAAUCUGGACACAUAAACGGAACAAGUUAGUGGACUGAGAACAUUUUUGCAUCCCAGCACCAGCCUGACGUCUGUGCAAGAACGAACAGCAAGGAGAUGCCCUGGAAUGAACUCUGGAAAAAUGACUCCAGCCCAAUAAUAAAUGUCAAAAAGUCCAUAGAUUCCCGAUGAGCCUGGUCAUCCGAGGACAAACCAACAUCUAAAAAGUGUCCAGAACUCGACAUGAAGGAUGCCAUUAAGACAAUCCUGCAAGCUCCUAAUAAGUAUUCGACUACAAAAUUAACCGCCCAACUAUUUCGAUAACCGAUUUCUAUGGAAAAUAAAAGUCACAAUUCUCUGACUUCACCUUCUUAAAUGCAGUGUCUCCCCUAGGUUUACUGGUUUGGGGGGGGUGGGGGGGGCAAUGAGGAAUAAGGUGUUUAAGGAAAGUGACCUUAAAUGACUUCUGCUUGGCAUUAUAUUAAAAAAUUGAAAACACAAAAAAAAAUGAUUAAUAAUAAUUUUGACUUUUCAAGGGGGGCGGGGACUAACGUUGGAGGGGCGGGGCGGUGGUGGGGGAAACACUGUAAAAUGUGAAUAUUUUCCAAUUUCUUUUGCUCCUCUGCCACAAGCAAACUGAGCAUCUUUGGUGUGUGGACAAAAAAAACAAAAACAAAAAAAAAACACCAUCUUGGGGAUUUGGGGAAAACGACUAAUCGAUUAAUCGAGAAAAAGAAUCGAGUCCCUUUCUGUUAAUCCCCCCAAAAAAAUAUAGUUGAGGACAAACUGCGCCGAGGUCAACACAGGGGCCGCGUCCGAACACUUCGGAGUUACUUUCCCUCUCUUUCCUGUGAACGGGCAGUAGAACCAGUGUGGUCCACGAGGAGGGCGUGUGGCUACAAGUGAGCCACGGCAGGUGGAUGAGAGUCGCCCCUGACGGGAUCUGCACGCAGGGAGGGGGAAGGCAACAUGUUUCUUUUAAAAUGAGACGUGCAGGUCAAAUAAAGGAGGAGGUAAAAGGGCACAGGACACACGAGCCAUCACGAAUCGAACCGAACCGUUACGUAUAACAAUGUCUUUUUCUCGUUAAUGUGUACUGUCCCUUUAAUAAGAAGGACAUGAAAUAGCCCCUUGUGGUCGUUACCGGGCGGACGACAGGUUGCCAACAACAACCGCAAAAAUUAAAAAAAUAAUAAUAAUAAUAAUUAUAACCUACCUACCUGUUACAAAUUCAGACAUUUACUCCGAAGCGACGGGACAAACACAUCGUCCAUUUUCUUUCGUUCCUCUGGGAAGAGGAGCGGGGGUGGUGGUGGUGGGGGGGUGUCCCGUUCAAAAGGCCUCGGGUGGAACCGGAGAUGGGUUAUACGGGCUGUCAGUGCGGGAUGUUCAGUGUCCGUCCUCAGGGCUGCGGAGCGCGGUACCUGCGAGGAGCAGACCCAACAUGGCAGACGAGCCUCCCUCCGGCGGGGCUCUCCCUUCGCCACGGGCGGACAGUUAUCAAAAACCCGCCGUGUUCAUUCAUGUCGCUCUCAUUAUUUCCGAAGCCGUCCUCGGGUCGACGCUUUUCAAAAAAGAAGUGGAAACAGAAACAGGGAGAGGAGGGAAGAGGAGAAAAGUAACGCGUACUCGCACCGCGACGAGCGACAGAGGAGACUGACGAAUCUCCUGGCUGGCUCUGCCGAAGCUCCGCCCCUCCUCCUCCGCUGGCCCUCCUCGAGGGGCGUCGUCCAAUCGCAGGCCCAGUUUAAAUUUGGAGUUUCAAAGCGGGCCAAUCGGAGUCGUUUUUACAUAACCCUUCCAAUAUAGUGGCCGCUGGUUACAUGGAAUUCAGACAUUGCUGCUGUGCAAAUUGUAGUUUUUAAAAUGUUGUAUUUUAGUUGAGGGCAACAGUAAAGUAACUUUACAUUCAUUGAAGUACUUAACUUUUGUAUUAUUUCCAUUUUACGCUACUCUAUUACAUCUCAGAUGGAACUCUUCUACUUUUUACUUUACUUUAUGUAUUUGACGACUAUAAUCCAAUGGCAGGGCCAGUUUAAAUUUGGAAUUUCGAAGCGGGCCAAUUGGAAGUGUUGUUACAUAACUUUUCCAAAAGAGUGGAUGCUGCUCCAUCCUGGUCGCUGGCUGGAAACCAGCAGAAUAUGGUAUUCAGACAGACAAAAGUAAAGGAACAAAGUAAAGGAACAUUUAGUCAAGUACUUCACUUUUAUAUUUUUUCCAUUUUACACUACUCUAUUACAUCUUAGAUGGAAAUAUUCUUCUUUUUACUCUACUUUAUGUAUUUGACGACUAUAGUCCAAUCGCUGAUGAUUUCGAUACAGAACGUUUAUUGUAAAUUCAUUUUUUAAAAUCGUGGUAUUGAUAUUUUUUACUAAAGUAA
ensembl:lncRNA